CGACAGGGCGCGGAACCCGAAAACCUGUCUCAGUUCGGAUUGGAGUCUGCAACCCGACUCCAUGAAGCUGGAUUCGCUAGUAAUCGCGCAUCAGCCACGGCGCGGUGAAUACGUUCCCGGGCCUUGUACACGCCGCCCGUCAAGCCAUGGAAGCCGGGAGUGCCUGAAGUGCGUGACCGCAAGGAGCGUCCUAAGGCAAUACCGGUGACUGGGGCUAAGUCGUAACAAGGUAAC
rnacentral:rRNA from 1 species